UACGUAGGGUGCGAGCGUUGUCCGGAAUUACUGGGCGUAAAGAGCUCGUAGGUGGUUUGUCGCGUUGUUCGUGAAAACUCACAGCUUAACUGUGGGCGUGCGGGCGAUACGGGCAGACUGGAGUACUGCAGGGGAGACUGGAAUUCCUGGUGUAGCGGUGGAAUGCGCAGAUAUCAGGAGGGACACCGGUGGCGAAGGCGGCAUCCUGGACCGGCAUUGACGCUGAGGAGCGAAAGCCAGGGGAGCAAACGGG
rnacentral:rRNA from 1 species